UCAUUAACUGGUUGUGCGUGGUUUUACUACCCAAAGGCAUAAAAGCAAAAAGGAGGAAUCAACAAAAUGCUUUAGAACUUGGAUGUGAACUUAUGCAAAUAUGUGAAACAAAUUAAGAUGACAGAGCAGAAGAAAAUGGAGCUCAAAUGAAAUCUACCUCUCAAAGCAGGUGACCACGCUUUGGGAUUUUCAUAGUUUGAGUUAAUUCCUGUGGGCUCCACCACCCAGCGAGUUAAACAGGACAAGAUUCCUCCCAGAGGAUUGUGGUUCUGGGAAUGUGAGCAGUUUGUUU
rnacentral:lncRNA from 1 species